UAUAAAGCCAGGUUUAAGUUUCCGCAAGAAUAUCUCAGUUUCCCGAGUGGAGCUGUAUUAACCGGUCUUUUCCUCCGGCCGCAGCACCGCUGGCAGAGGCAGACCAGCGGGGAGAUGAGAGUCACAGAGUGCGCUGGCAGACCGGCGGGGAGACUCGUGAAGACGA